rnacentral:rRNA from 1 species
CACGUGAUAUCCUGUCUGAAGAUGGGGGGACCAUCCUCCAAGGCUAAAUACUCCUGACUGACCGAUAGUGAACCAGUACCGUGAGGGAAAGGCGAAAAGAACCCCGGCGAGGGGAGUGAAACAGAACCUGAAACCGUGUACGUACAAGCAGUGGGAGCCUUCGUAAGAGGGUGACUGCGUACCUUUUGUAUAAUGGGUCAGCGACUUAUAUUCUGUAGCAAGGUUAACCGAUUAGGGGAGCCGUAGCGAAAGCGAGUGUUAACUGCGCGUUUAGUUGCAGGGUAUAGACCCGAAACCCGGCGAUCUACCCAUGGGCAGGUUGAAGGUUGAGUAACAUCAACUGGAGGACCGAACCCACUAACUUUGAAAAGUUAGGGGAUGACCUGUGGCUGGGGGUGAAAGGCCAAUCAAACCGGGAGAUAGCUGGUUCUCCCCGAAAUCUAUUUAGGUAGAGCCUCGCACGAACACCAUUGGGGGUAGAGCACUGUUAAGGCUAGGGGGUCAUCCCGACUUACCAACCCUUUGCAAACUCCGAAUACC